GCGGACGUAGCUCAGUUGAGAGCGCAACCUUGCCAAGGUUGAGGUCGCGAAGUUCGAACCUCGUCGUCCGCU
rnacentral:tRNA from 1 species